rnacentral:rRNA from 1 species
UCCUUGGGUGACGAGCGGCGGACGGGUGAGUAAAGUCUGGGGAUCUGCCUGAUGGAGGGGGAUAACUACUGGAAACGGUAGCUAAUACCGCAUGACGUCUUCGGACCAAAGUGGGGGACCUUCGGGCCUCACGCCAUGAGAUGAACCCAGAUGGGAUUAGCUGGUAGGUGAGGUAACGGCUCACCUAGGCGACGAUCCCUAGCUGGUCUGAGAGGAUGACCAGCCACACUGGAACUGAGACACGGUCCAGACUCCUACGGGAGGCAGCAGUGGGGAAUAUUGCACAAUGGGGGAAACCCUGAUGCAGCCAUGCCGCGUGUGUGAAGAAGGCCUUCGGGUUGUAAAGCACUUUCAGCGGGGAGGAAGGCAAUAAACUUAAUAAGUUUGUUGAUUGACGUUACCCGCAGAAGAAGCACCGGCUAACUCCGUGCCAGCAGCCGCGGUAAUACGGAGGGUGCAAGCGUUAAUCGGAAUGACUGGGCGUAAAGCGCACGCAGGCGGUCUGUUAAGUUGGAUGUGAAAUCCCCGGGCUCAACCCGGGAACAGCAUUCAAAACUGACAGGCUAGAGUCUCGUAGAGGGGGGUAGAAUUCCAGGUGUAGCGGUGAAAUGCGUAGAGAUCUGGAGGAAUACCGGUGGCGAAGGCGGCCCCCUGGACGAAGACUGACGCUCAGGUGCGAAAGCGUGGGGAGCAAACAGGAUUAGAUACCCUGGUAGUCCACGCCGUAAACGAUGUCGACUUGGAGGCUGUGGUCUUGAACCGUGGCUUCCGGAGCUAACGCGUUAAGUCGACCGCCUGGGGAGUACGGCCGCAAGGUUAAAACUCAAAUGAAUUGACGGGGGCCCGCACAAGCGGUGGAGCAUGUGGUUUAAUUCGAUGCAACGCGAAGAACCUUACCUACUCUUGACAUCCAGAGAAGACUGUAGAGAUACGGUUGUGCCUUCGGGAGCUCUGAGACAGGUGCUGCAUGGCUGUCGUCAGCUCGUGUUGUGAAAUGUUGGGUUAAGUCCCGCAACGAGCGCAACCCUUAUCCUUUGUUGCCAGCGAUACGGUCGGGAACUCAAAGGAGACUGCCGGUGAUAAACCGGAGGAAGGUGGGGAUGACGUCAAGUCAUCAUGGCCCUUACGAGUAGGGCUACACACGUGCUACAAUGGCGCAUACAAAGAGAAGCGAGCCUGCGAGGGUGAGCGGACCUCAUAAAGUGCGUCGUAGUCCGGAUUGGAGUCUGCAACUCGACUCCAUGAAGUCGGAAUCGCUAGUAAUCGUAGAUCAGAAUGCUACGGUGAAUACGUUCCCGGGCCUUGUACACACCGCCCGUCACACCAUGGGAGUGGGUUGCAAAAGAAGUAGGUAGCUU